AUUGAACGCUGGCGGCAGGCCUAACACAUGCAAGUCGAGCGGAGCGGCGGAGGGGGGAGGAAUACUAAGGUAUCGGCCUGGUAGCGGGGGAGAAGGAUCGGAAAUGGGCGCGAAUACUGCUUCCUAUCAGAUUAGGAUAGGCCGGAGUAGCUAGUGGGUGGGGUAAAGGCCUACCAAGGCGACGAUCCGUAACUGGUCUGAGAGGAUGAGCAGUCACACUGGAACUGAGACACGGUCCAGACUCCUACGGGAGGCAGCAGUGGGGAAUAUUGGACAAUGGGCGAAAGCCUGAUCCAGCCAUGCCGCGUGUAUGAAGAAGGUCUUCGGGUUGUAAAGCACUUUAAGUUGGGAGGCGUUACCAGCAGAAUAAGCACCGGCUAACUUCGUGCCAGCAGCCGCGGUAAUUC
rnacentral:rRNA from 1 species